GGAAUCUUGCGCAAUGGGCGGAAGCCUGACGCAGCAACGCCGCGUGGAGGAAGAAGGCCCUCGGGUCGUAAACUCCUGUCCAUGGGGAAGACGGUGACGGUACCCUUGGAGGAAGACCCGGCUACCUCCGUGCCAGCAGCCGCGGUAAUACAGAGGGUGCGAGCGUUAAGCGGAAUUACUGGGCGUAAAGCGCACGUAGGCGGCUCUGCAAGUCGGGUGUGAAGUCCCCGGGCUCAACCUGGGAACUGCAUUCGAUACUGCAUUGCUCGAGUAUGGGAGAGGGAAGUGGAAGUUCCGGUGUAGCGGUGAAAUGCGUAGAUAUCGGAAGGAACACCAGUGGCGAAAGCGACUUCCUGGACCAAUACUGACGCUCAGGUGCGAAAGCGUGGGGAGCAAAC
rnacentral:rRNA from 1 species